rnacentral:tRNA from 1 species
GGAGCGUGGCGCAGCCUGGUAGCGCACUUGACUGGGGGUCAAGGGGUCGCAGGUUCGAAU